rnacentral:rRNA from 1 species
UACGGAGGGGGCGAGCGUUAUUCGGAAUUAUUGGGCGUAAAGGGCGCGUAGGCGGCCUGGUAAGUCAAAGGUGAAAUCCCUCGGCUCAACUGAGGAAUUGCCUUUGAAACUGCUGGGCUCGAGGCCGGGAGGGGGUAGUGGAAUUCCCAGUGUAGCGGUGAAAUGCGUAGAUACUGGGAGGAACACCAGUGGCGAAGGCGGCUACCUGGACCGGUUCUGACGCUGAUGCGCGAAAGCGUGGGGAGCAAACAGG